CUAUCAUUAACUGAAUCCAUAGGUUAAUGAGGCGAACCGGGGGAACUGAAACAUCUAAGUACCCCGAGGAAAAGAAAUCAACCGAGAUUCCCCCAGUAGCGGCGAGCGAACGGGGAGCAGCCCAGAGCCUGAAUCAGUGUGUGUGUUAGUGGAAGCGUCUGGAAAGGCGCGCGAUACAGGGUGACAGCCCCGUACACAAAAAUGCACAUGCUGUGAGCUCGAUGAGUAGGGCGGGACACGUGGUAUCCUGUCUGAAUAUGGGGGGACCAUCCUCCAAGGCUAAAUACUCCUGACUGACCGAUAGUGAACCAGUACCGUGAGGGAAAGGCGAAAAGAACCCCGGCGAGGGGAGUGAAAAAGAACCUGAAACCGUGUACGUACAAGCAGUGGGAGCACGCUUAGGCGUGUGACUGCGUACCUUUUGUAUAAUGGGUCAGCGACUUAUAUUCUGUAGCAAGGUUAACCGAAUAGGGGAGCCGAAGGGAAACCGAGUCUUAACUGGGCGUUAAGUUGCAGGGUAUAGACCCGAAACCCGGUGAUCUAGCCAUGGGCAGGUUGAAGGUUGGGUAACACUAACUGGAGGACCGAACCGACUAAUGUUGAAAAAUUAGCGGAUGACUUGUGGCUGGGGGUGAAAGGCCAAUCAAACCGGGAGAUAGCUGGUUCUCCCCGAAAGCUAUUUAGGUAGCGCCUCGUGAAUUCAUCUCCGGGGGUAGAGCACUGUUUCGGCAAGGGGGUCAUCCCGACUUACCAACCCGAUGCAAACUGCGAAUACCGGAGAAUGUUAUCACGGGAGACACACGGCGGGUGCUAACGUCCGUCGUGAAGAGGGAAACAACCCAGACCGCCAGCUAAGGUCCCAAAGUCAUGGUUAAGUGGGAAACGAUGUGGGAAGGCCCAGACAGCCAGGAUGUUGGCUUAGAAGCAGCCAUCAUUUAAAGAAAGCGUAAUAGCUCACUGGUCGAGUCGGCCUGCGCGGAAGAUGUAACGGGGCUAAACCAUGCACCGAAGCUGCGGCAGCGACGCUGAUGCGUUGUUGGGUAGGGGAGCGUUCUGUAAGCCUGCGAAGGUGUGCUGUGAGGCAUGCUGGAGGUAUCAGAAGUGCGAAUGCUGACAUAAGUAACGAUAAAGCGGGUGAAAAGCCCGCUCGCCGGAAGACCAAGGGUUCCUGUCCAACGUUAAUCGGGGCAGGGUGAGUCGACCCCUAAGGCGAGGCCGAAAGGCGUAGUCGAUGGGAAACAGGUUAAUAUUCCUGUACUUGGUGUUACUGCGAAGGGGGGACGGAGAAGGCUAUGUUGGCCGGGCGACGGUUGUCCCGGUUUAAGCGUGUAGGCUGGUUUUCCAGGCAAAUCCGGAAAAUCAAGGCUGAGGCGUGAUGACGAGGCACUACGGUGCUGAAGCAACAAAUGCCCUGCUUCCAGGAAAAGCCUCUAAGCAUCAGGUAACAUCAAAUCGUACCCCAAACCGACACAGGUGGUCAGGUAGAGAAUACCAAGGCGCUUGAGAGAACUCGGGUGAAGGAACUAGGCAAAAUGGUGCCGUAACUUCGGGAGAAGGCACGCUGAUAUGUAGGUGAAGUCCCUCGCGGAUGGAGCUGAAAUCAGUCGAAGAUACCAGCUGGCUGCAACUGUUUAUUAAAAACACAGCACUGUGCAAACACGAAAGUGGACGUAUACGGUGUGACGCCUGCCCGGUGCCGGAAGGUUAAUUGAUGGGGUUAGCGCAAGCGAAGCUCUUGAUCGAAGCCCCGGUAAACGGCGGCCGUAACUAUAACGGUCCUAAGGUAGCGAAAUUCCUUGUCGGGUAAGUUCCGACCUGCACGAAUGGCGUAAUGAUGGCCAGGCUGUCUCCACCCGAGACUCAGUGAAAUUGAACUCGCUGUGAAGAUGCAGUGUACCCGCGGCAAGACGGAAAGACCCCGUGAACCUUUACUAUAGCUUGACACUGAACAUUGAGCCUUGAUGUGUAGGAUAGGUGGGAGGCUUAGAAGUGUGGACGCCAGUCUGCAUGGAGCCGACCUUGAAAUACCACCCUUUAAUGUUUGAUGUUCUAACGUUGACCCGUAAUCCGGGUUGCGGACAGUGUCUGGUGGGUAGUUUGACUGGGGCGGUCUCCUCCUAAAGAGUAACGGAGGAGCACGAAGGUUGGCUAAUCCUGGUCGGACAUCAGGAGGUUAGUGCAAUGGCAUAAGCCAGCUUGACUGCGAGCGUGACGGCGCGAGCAGGUGCGAAAGCAGGUCAUAGUGAUCCGGUGGUUCUGAAUGGAAGGGCCAUCGCUCAACGGAUAAAAGGUACUCCGGGGAUAACAGGCUGAUACCGCCCAAGAGUUCAUAUCGACGGCGGUGUUUGGCACCUCGAUGUCGGCUCAUCACAUCCUGGGGCUGAAGUAGGUCCCAAGGGUAUGGCUGUUCGCCAUUUAAAGUGGUACGCGAGCUGGGUUUAGAACGUCGUGAGACAGUUCGGUCCCUAUCUGCCGUGGGCGCUGGAGAACUGAGGGGGGCUGCUCCUAGUACGAGAGGACCGGAGUGGACGCAUCACUGGUGUUCGGGUUGUCAUGCCAAUGGCACUGCCCGGUAGCUAAAUGCGGAAGAGAUAAGUGCUGAAAGCAUCUAAGCACGAAACUUGCCCCGAGAUGAGUUCUCCCUGACUCCUUGAGAGUCCUGAAGGAACGUUGAAGACGACGACGUUGAUAGGCCGGGUGUGUAAGCGCAGCGAUGCGUUGAGCUAACCGGUACUAAUGAACCGUGAGGCUUAACCUUACAACGCCGAAGCUGUU
rnacentral:rRNA from 1 species